AACUUUCAACAACGGAUCUCUUGGCUCUCGCAUCGAUGAAGAACGCANNNNNGUGAAUUGCAGAAUUCAGUGAAUCAUCGAAUCUUUGAACGCACCUUGCGCCCC
rnacentral:rRNA from 1 species